rnacentral:rRNA from 1 species
AUUGAACGCUGGCGGCAGGCUUAACACAUGCAAGUCGAGCGAGUGGCGGACGGGUGAGUAAUGUUUGGGGAUUGCCCGCUAGCGGGGGUUAACUACUGGAAACGGUGGCUAACACCGCAUACUAUCGGAUAACCCAUAUGGGAUUAGCUAGUAGGUGGGGUAAAGGCUCACUUAGGCGACGACUUCUAGCUGGUCUGAGAGGAGGAUCAGCCACACGGCGACUGAGACACGGCCCAGCCUCCUAGGGAGUCAGCAGUGGGGAAGAUUGGGCAAUGGGGGCAACCCUGACGCAGCCAUGCCGCGUGUAUGAAGAGGGCCUUAGGGUUGUAGGGUAGUUUCAGCGUGGAGGGGUUACCCGCAGAAGAAGCGCCGGCUAACUCCGUGCCAGCAGCCGCGGUAAUUC